rnacentral:misc_RNA from 1 species
GAUGAAGAACGUAGCGAAAUGCGAUACGUAAUGUGAAUUGCAGAAUUCAGUGAAUCAUCGAAUCUUUGAACGCAUAUUGCGCUCUCUGGUAUUCCGGAGAGCAUGCUUGUUUGAGUAUCAGUAAACACCUCAACUCCCUUUUCUUUUUUGAAAUUGGAGCUGGACUUGAGUGAUCCCAACGCUUUCUUCCAAGAAAGUGGCGGGUUGCUUGAAAUGCAGGUGCAGCUGAACUUUUCUCUGAGCUAUAAGCAUAUCUAUUUAGUCUGCCUAAAAAACAGAUUAUUACCUUUGCUGCAGCUAACAUAGAGGAGACUAGUUCUUGUGCUGACUGAUGCAGGAUUCACAGAGACAGCUUCGGCUGACUUUGUAAACUCGAUCUCAAAUCAAGUAAGACUACCCGCUGAACUUAAGCAUAUCAAUAAGCGGAGGA